GCCCGGUCGUACUCAUAACCG
rnacentral:snRNA from 1 species